AAGUCGUAACAAGGUUUCCGUAGGUGAACCUGCGGAAGGAUCAUUAUUGAAUAAAAAUUUGAACAGGCUGUUGCUGUCCCUUCCUUUCGGUUGGGUAUGUGCACGCUUGUCAUCUUUAUUUCUCCCCACUGUGCACAUAUUGUAGACCUGAGAGCUUUUGAAUUCAUUUUCGAGUUGGGACUGCUGCAACAAAACACAAAGUUCAGCUUUGCCUUGCAUUUUUGGGUCUAUGUCAUCUUUACAAACCUCUAGAAUCGUUUGGAAUGUUGAAUGCAAAGGUCAUUUUGUACCUAUAAAGUUAAUAUACAACUUUCAGCAACGGAUCUCUUGGCUCUCGCAUCGAUGAAGAACGCAGCGAAAUGCGAUAAGUAAUGUGAAUUGCAGAAUUCAGUGAAUCAUCGAAUCUUUGAACGCAUCUUGCGCUCCCUGGUAUUCCGAGGAGCAUGCCUGUUUGAGUGUCAUUUAAGUUCUCAACCACGAACAACUCUGUUGCAUCGUGGCUUGGAUGUGGGGGGUCAUAUUGCAGGCUUUCAAAGUCUGCUCCCCUGAAAUGCAUUAGUAGUAUCUGAGCAGAAACUACAAGGUGUGAUAAUUUAUCCAUUGCCUUCAGUAUGCUGCGAGAAAAACCAGAUCACACUGCUUCCAACAAAGAAAAAUGUGGAUUUUAACCAACCACAUUUCCUUUUGAUAAAUUUGACCUCAAAUCAGGUAGGACUACCCGCUGAACUUAAGCAUAUCAUAAGCGGAGGAAAAGAAACUAACAAGGAUUCCCCUAGUAACUGCGAGUGAAGCGGGAAAAGCUCAAAUUUGAAAUCUGGCGGUUCUGAACCGUCCGAGUUGUAAUCUAGAGAAGUGUUUACCUGUGCUGGACCGUGUACAAGUCUCCUGGAAUGGAGCAUCAUAGAGGGUGAGAAUCCCGUCUUUGACAUGGACUACCUGUACGUUGUGGUGCGCUCUCGAAGAGUCGAGUUGUUUGGGAAUGCAGCUCAAAAUGGGUGGUAAAUGCCAUCUAAAGCUAAAUAUUGGCGAGAGACCGAUAGCGAACAAGUACCGUGAGGGAAAGAUGAAAAGAACUUUGGAAAGAGAGUUAAACAGUACGUGAAAUUGCUGAAAGGGAAACGCUUGAAGUCAGUCGCGUUGGCUAGAAAUCAACCUAGCUCUUGCUCGGUGUACUUUCUGGUCGACGGGUCAGCAUCAAUUUUGACCGUUGGAUAAAGUCUUUGGGAAUGUGGCAUCUUCGGAUGUGUUAUAGCCCAUUGUCGCAUACAGUGGUUGGGAUUGAGGAACUCAGCACGCCGCAUGGCCGGGUUUCGACCACGUUCGUGCUUAGGAUGCUGGCAUAAUGGCUUUAAUCGACC
rnacentral:rRNA from 1 species